CAGGUAACUGCCGCACCUGAGGACAAGGAGGAGGAGGAAGAGGAGGAGGAGGAGGAGGAGGAGGAGGAGGAGGAGGAGAAGGAGGAGGAGGAGGAUGAAUAGCAGGAGGAGGAGGAAGAAAAAGAGGAUGAAGAGGAAGGUGUACAUGUCUUGAUAUGUGCGUGUCUGGAUUUGGAGACGCCCACGCACACGCACUUGCACCCACGCACACACACACAGAUGCACGCACGCACGCAUUGUGAUGAGGGGGUGGACGAAGAGGAAGAAGAGGAGGAAGAGGAAGAGAGGAGGAGGAAUAAGAAGAGGAAAUUUCUGAUCCAACAUUUAAACAAAGGUAA